rnacentral:rRNA from 1 species
GAUGAACGCUGGCGGCGUGCCUAAUACAUGCAAGUCGAGCGAACGGACGAGAAGCUUGCUUUUCUGAUGUUAGCGGCGGACGGGUGAGUAACACGUGGAUAACCUACCUAUAAGACUGGGAUAACUUCGGGAAACCGGAGCUAAUACCGGAUAAUAUUUUGAACCGCAUGGUUCAAAAGUGAAAGACGGUCUUGCUGUCACUUAUAGAUGGAUCCGCGCUGCAUUAGCUAGUUGGUAAGGUAAAGGCUUACCAAGGCAACGAUGCAUAGCCGACCUGAGAGGGUGAUCGGCCACCUGGGAACUGAGACACGGUCCAGACUCCUACGGGAGGCAGCAGUAGGGAAUGUUCCGCAAUGGGCGGAAGCCUGACGGAGCAACGCCGCGUGAGUGAUGAAGGUCUUCGGAUCGUAAAACUCUGUUAUUAGGGAAGAACAUAUGUGUAAGUAACUGUGCACAUCUUGACGGUACCUAAUCAGAAAGCCACGGCUAACUACGUG